rfam:Schistosoma mattheei strain Denwood, Zambia genome assembly, scaffold: SMTD_scaffold0028498
AACUAUUCGAAUCCGUGCUGAGAUUUCCUCAGACACUAAACCACAAAGGCUGAUGAAAUUCCCAAGGUGAGUUGAGUA